AUACGUAGGGAGCAAGCGUUGUCCGGAAUUAUUGGGCGUAAAGCGCGCGUAGGCGGCUUUGUAAGUCGGAUGUGAAAGCCCUGUGCUCAACCUGGGAACUGCAUUCGAAACUGCAUGGCUAGAGUAUGGGAGAGGGAAGUGGAAUUUCCGGUGUAGCGGUGAAAUGCGUAGAUAUCGGAAGGAACACCAGUGGCGAAGGCGACUUCCUGGCCCAAUACUGACGCUGAGGUGCGAAAGCGUGGGGAGCAAACAGGAUUAGAAACCCCAGUAGUCC
rnacentral:rRNA from 1 species